rnacentral:rRNA from 1 species
ACGGCGAGUGAAGCGGCAACAGCUCAAAUUUGAAAUCUGGCCCUCGGGUCCGAGUUGUAAUUUGUAGAGGAUGCUUUUGGCGCGGUGCCUUCCGAGUUCCCUGGAACGGGACGCCUUAGAGGGUGAGAGCCCCGUACGGUUGGACACCAAGCCUCUGUAAAGCUCCUUCGACGAGUCGAGUAGUUUGGGAAUGCUGCUCUAAAUGGGAGGUAAAUUUCUUCUAAAGCUAAAUAUUGGCCAGAGACCGAUAGCGCACAAGUAGAGUGAUCGAAAGAUGAAAAGCACUUUGAAAAGAGGGUUAAACAGCACGUGAAAUUGUUGAAAGGGAAGCGUUUGCGACCAGACCUCUCCCCGGCGGAUCAUCCGGCGUUCUCGCCGGUGCACUUCGCCGGGCUGAGGCCAGCAUCGGUUUCCGCGGGGGGACAAAAGCGGGGGGAACGUAGCUCCCUCGGGAGUGUUAUAGCCCUCCGCAUAAUACCCUCGCGGGGACCGAGGACCGCGCUUCGGCAAGGAUGCUGGCGUAAUGGUCGUCAACGACCCGUCUUGAAACACGGACCAAGGAGUCGAACAUUUGUGCGAGUGUUUGGGUGUCAAACCCUCACGCGUAAUGAAGGUGAACGUAGGUGAGAGCCUUCACGGGCGCAUCAUCGACCGAUCCUGAUGUCUUCGGAUGGAUUUGAGUAAGAGCAUAACUGUUCGGACCCGAAAGAUGGUGAACUAUGCGUGGAUAGGGUGAAGCCAGAGGAAACUCUGGUGGAGGCUCGCAGCGGUUCUGACGUGCAAAUCGAUCGUCAAAUCUGCGCAUGGGGGCGAAAG